rnacentral:rRNA from 1 species
UACAGAGGGUGCAAGCGUUGUUCGGAAUUACUGGGCGUAAAGCGCGUGUAGGUGGCGAUGUAAGUCGGGUGUGAAAGCCCUUGGCUUAACCAAGGAAGUGCACUCGAUACUGUGUCGCUUGAGUAUCGGAGGGGGUGGCGGAAUUCCCGGUGUAGAGGUGAAAUUCGUAGAUAUCGGGAGGAACACCUGUGGCGAAGGCGGCCACCUGGACGAUCACUGACACUGAGACGCGAAAGCGUGGGUAGCAAACAGG